rnacentral:rRNA from 1 species
CUAGGAUUAGAUACCCUAUUAUUUUAAAUGUAAUUUUAAAAACUUGAGUAUUAAUAGUUAUAAUCUUUAAACUUAAAAAAUUUGGCGGUAUUUUAGUCUAUUCAGAGGAACCUGUUUUUUAAUCGAUAUUCCACGUUGGACCUUACUUGACUUUAUAAAUUAGUAUGUAUACCGUCGUUAUAGAAAAUUUUAUAAGAAUAAUAAUUUUCAAUUAAUUUAAAAUAAUUUAAUAUCAGAUCAAGGUGCAGCAUAUAGUUAAGAUAAUAAUGGGUUACAAUAAAUUUAUUUAUAUGGAAAUAAUUAUGAAAAAGUUAUUAAAAGUGGAUUUGAAAGUAAAAUUUUAAAGAUUAUGAAUUUGAUUUUAGCUCUAAAAUAUGUACAUAUCGCCCGUCGCUCUUAUUUAUUAAGAUAAGAUAAGUCGUAACAUA